rnacentral:lncRNA from 1 species
UUUUACUACCGUAAUGAAUACGCUCAAAUCGUCCCCAUUUCAUCAACUGCCCGUCCUAAAUCCUCUUCCACAGAACUACAUAUUUCAUGUUGUUGAACCUGCAUCCAAGAGUGAUGGGUCUGGUGGGUCAUCACCGGUCUCGAAUCUUACAUUCCUGGAGCUCACAAGGAGGCGAAUUUAUUGGAGAAAUAUUCAUAAUAUGAAAUUGAGUGGUCGGCUUUAUAAUUCUAUUGUAUCUAUUUGUAAUUGUUCUGUAAUGGGUGUUUGUCUGUCUUGAGGUUGAACUCCGACCAUGGAGUUUGAAGCAAUUGCGGAGCUGAACCUUAUUAUUAUUAGUUUUGAGUUAGUUCAAUUGGUUAGCUGUUUAUUUUAUUUUUUACAUUGCUG